rnacentral:rRNA from 1 species
CGGCGGACGGGUGAGUAAUGCCUAGGAAUCUGCCUGGUAGUGGGGGACAACGUUUCGAAAGGAACGCUAAUACCGCAUACGUCCUACGGGAGAAAGCAGGGGACCUUCGGGCCUUGCGCUAUCAGAUGAGCCUAGGUCGGAUUAGCUAGUUGGUGAGGUAAUGGCUCACCAAGGCGACGAUCCGUAAUUGGUCUGAGAGGAUGAUCAGUCACACUGGAACUGAGACACGGUCCAGACUCCUACGGGAGGCAGCAGAC